rnacentral:rRNA from 1 species
UACGUAGGGACCAAGCGUUGUUCGGAUUCACUGGGUUUAAAGGGUGCGUAGGCGGGCAGGUAAGUCCGUGGUGAAAUCUCUGAGCUUAACUCAGAAACUGCCAUGGAUACUAUUUGUCUUGAAUAUUGUGGAGGUAAGCGGAAUAUGUCAUGUAGCGGUGAAAUGCUUAGAUAUGACAUAGAACACCAAUUGCGAAGGCAGCUUACUACACAGUUAUUGACGCUGAGGCACGAAAGCGUGGGGAUCAAACAGG